UCCAGCAAAGCAGUUCUGCACGCCGGGGAACAACGCCGGUUGCUGGCCACUUCUCGACGGCCACCCUGGCCCCGCUUUGGUUUGGCGUAGCUUGGGGGUGGAAGAGGUGGGCGCAUCGGCGAGGGUGCGGCUUCGGUGCAAGCGGUGGAUGUGGACGAGGGAUGUUGCUGCGGAGCAGGCGGAGGAGGAGGGUGGAAGGGAAGGCGAGGCGACCGGAGGUGAGGAGAAGAGGCGACCGCGUGAUCCGCUGUGCGAAUGCUCGGGCCCGUCGUUUCGGGGGAUGGACGACGACGAUCCUGUACGACGGUACGCUCUUACGCGGGGAUAGUUGCGAUUUCGCCUGCCUCGCCGCCGCCGCCGCCUGGGACCGUCUUCUUCUCCGGCCACGAGCUCCGCCACCGCAACAUCGACCUCAAUCGGAGGAGAGGGGGAGACCGAGUCAGAGAGCUGAGCGGCAGUAUUCCUAUUGGAGAAGGCUAUCGGCGCCGCCUGCAAUGCAACGUGAGGGAUGGAUGCUCACUUGUUGAUGCAAAAAUUCUUAACCACGGAUGGACAAUUAACGUUGUUGCGUCAAAUGCUUUAUGCAACCUUUGCUUGUGGAGUACUGGAUGUCAUGGGAUCAACAACCAGUAGGUGGUCCGUUGUCGUGCCCUACCAAUUAUCAGACUCUUAAAUUUGGGGUCCUGAUAUGUGGAAUUCUGAACACAACAUUCACCAUCCGGAGGGUCCACAGCUUGCCUGGGCCGUGGAACUAUGGAUCUGGAAUGCCUUGCACACAAUACACAAGCAACAGCAGUGACCUAAUGAUGCAGAGUUAGACUUGGAUGCAGAUGCUGUAAUGCCCAUGUAGCAAGGGGGGUGACCCGCAGUUUAAAACUAAUGCUUGGCUUCCCUAGACAACACCAACAGUUCAGUAGGAAGGAACAGUGAAAUUUUACCUGUGCGACGGUGCUAGAAAGCAAAGGAGACUGCUGUACCAUCUUGACCUCAGCAACAGCAGUGCCCUACAGAACCUAGCGUGCACUUUGGACUGGAGUGAUAAUUGGUUAGAUCUGAGAAGUUCACAUGGAUCAUUUCAGAACCUGCCAGUUGUGAAGGCAACAACAGGACAACGCCCUUUGUGACGGACUGAUGGUAGCAGCUAAUCCAGGAGUCAGCAACAGGCUGCAGAAGCAGUUCUACAUGAAUGCAGGAUCUCGCCUGGACUCUGGACUAUUUGAUUGUUUUGAUAUGAACUCGAGAGUCUUCAGAUAGUUGAAUCACAUGUGCUAACUUUCAAGGCAACAACAGUCCCAUGAAUGCAUCAACUAUUCUGGGUAUGUCUAUUCUCACACAGCUAUUUUUUUAUGAUUUACUUUAAAAACUGAAGACACAUGCUGCUAAUUAACAUUACUUAAUUUUGAUACCGUUUGUUUGGUACAGACAGUUUAGCGUCUUCUAUGAUUCUGGCCAAGUUCCCUUGUUCACUAGGAACGCACACCAUUUCUCAAGUUCUCAAGCUGCAGGCUUGCAGCAAAGAACGCAAACAGUUCAGGCUUAUCUUUUUCAUCAAUCUAAUGCAUUUUCUUUAGAUCGCACAACAUGCAAAACUUGCAAAUUUUCUGCUUCCUUCUAGCUGAAUCUAAUGCACGGCUAGUCAUAAAUGACCUUUAGGACCUGUUUGUUUGAGCUUCUGCUUUUGGUUUUUUUA